rnacentral:rRNA from 1 species
AGCGAACGCUGGCGGCGUACUUAACACAUGCAAGUCGAACGAGGAUCGCUACGUGAGCAAUCAUGCGGCGGUUCUAGUGGCGUACGGGUGAGUAACACGUGGGCGAACCUAGCCCUGGAGCCUGGGAUACCCUCUCGAAAGGGAGGCUAAUACCGGAUACGUUCCCCGGGUCGCGAGAUCUGGGGAGGAAAGGUGGCGCAAGCUGCCGCUCUUGGAGGGGCUCGCGGCC